UGGGGAAUAUUGGACAAUGGGGGAAACCCUGAUCCAGCAAUGCCGCGUGAGUGAAGAAGGCCUUAGGGUUGUAAAGCUCUUUCGCCCGCGAAGAUAAUGACGGUAGCGGGAGAAGAAGCCCCGGCUAACUUCGUGCCAGCAGCCGCGGUAAUACGAAGGGGGCUAGCGUUGUUCGGAAUUACUGGGCGUAAAGCGCACGUAGGCGGCUUUCCAAGUUGGAGGUGAAAUCCCCGGGCUUAACCCGGGAACUGCCUCCAAAACUGAAAGGCUAGAGUCCGAGAGAGGUGAGUGGAAUUUCCAGUGUAGAGGUGAAAUUCGUAGAUAUUGGAAAGAACACCAGUGGCGAAGGCGGCUCACUGGCUCGGUACUGACGCUGAGGUGCGACAGCGUGGGGAGCAAACA
rnacentral:rRNA from 1 species